UUUGAACUUGGCUCAGAUUGAACGCCAGUUUAGAUGCUUACACAUGCAAGUCGAACGGCAGCACGGACUUCGGUCUGGUGGCGAGUGGCGAAUCGGCGAGGAAUACCGGAACGCCUAGUAGCGGGGGAUAACUACGCGAAAGGUAGCUACCACCGUAUACGCCUCCUUCGGGGGAAAUGGGACCUUCGGGCCUCGCACUAUUAGAAGAGGCUGAUACUGGAUUAGCUAGUUGGUGGGGUAACGGCUCACCAAGGCGACGAUCCGGCUGUCGUGAGAGGACGUAUCCACACGGACUGAGACACGGCCCAGACUCCUACGGGAGGCAGCAGUGGGAAUUUUGGACAAUGGGGGGAAACCUGAUCCAGCCAUCCCGCGUGUGCGAUGAAGGCCUCUGGGUUGUAAAGCACUUUUGGCAGGAAAGAAAACGGCACGGGAUAAUACCCCGUGCAACUGACGGUACCUGCAGAAUAAGCACCGGCUAAUCACGUGCCAGCAGCCGCGGUAAUACGUAGGGUGCAAGCGUUAAUCGGAAUUACUGGGCGCGGAAGCGUGCGCAGGCGGUUCAAAAGAAAGAUGAAAUCCCAGAGCUUAACUUUGGAACUGUACUUUAACUACCGAUUGUGAGCGUGUCAGAGGGAGGUAACUCGCGUGUAGCAGGAAAUGCGUAGAUAUGCGGAGGAACACCGAUGGCGAAGGCAGCCUCCUGGGAUAACACUGACGCCUUUAUGCACGAAAGCGCGGCAAACAGGAUUAGAUACCUCGGUAGUCCACGCCCUAAACGAUGUCAACUAGCUGUUGGGGCCUUCGGGCCUUGGUAGCAGCUAACGCGUGAAGUUGACCGCCUGGGGAGUACGGUCGCAAGAUUAAAACUCAAAGGAAUGACGGGACCCGCACAAGCGGUGGAUGAUGUGGAUUAAUUCGAUGCAACGCGAAAAACCUCUACCUACCCUUGACAUGUCUGGAAUCCCGAAGAGAUUUGGGAGUGCUCGCAAGAGAACUGAACACAGGUGCUGCAUGGCUGUCGUCAGCUCGUGUCGUGAGAUGUUGGGUUAAGUCCCGCAACGAGCGCAACCUUGUCAUUAGUUGCUCACAAGGAAAGGGCAUCUGGACGAGACUGCCGGUGACAAACCGGAGGAAGGUGGGGAUGACGUCAAGUCCUCAUGGCCCUUAUGGGUAGGGCUUCACACGCUAUACAAUGGCUCGGGACAGAGGGUCGCCAACCCGCGAGGGGGAGCUAAUCCCAGAAACCUGAUCGUAGUCCGGAUCGUAGUCUGCAACUCGACUGCGUGAAGUCGGAAUCGCUAGUAAUCGCGGAUCAGCAUGUCGCGGUGAAUACGUUCCCGGUCUUGUACACACCGCCCGUCACACCAUGGAGUGGGUUUUACCAGAAGUAGCGAAUGCAACCGGCAGGUGAUUACCACGGUAGGGAUCUGGCGACUGGGGUGAAGUCGUAACAAGGUAG
rnacentral:rRNA from 1 species